CAGCUUUCUAGUUUUAGUCGUUUCUUUCUUACUUAUUCUUAUGGAUUGUAUAAAUAGACUGGAUGAUGAGGAGCCAUGGGAUCUGAUUUCAGUGUCAUUCUUGGCUCCUGCUGGAACCUACUGUUGUCUAAUGUGCAAAGUAUUUCCCGCAUGUUGUGGUUUGUUCAUGCAUUCAGGAGCAUUGUCCUGUUGACAGCUGGCUGACGUUAUUUUUGGUUUGCUGCUGGCGGCAAAUUUAAGUUUGGCGUUUUUCAUAAAUACAAGAAGGACUCAAAUAGACGUUGAGUAUUUUACUUAAAAGUAACCUUCAACCCAACGUCUUUUUUUCGGAGUUCAAAAUGUUUUUGUUGCAUGCAGAAAUGUAAUUUCAUUUUCUCUGCAGGAGUUCAUCAAUUUCAUAAAUGCAACACAUUAUAGUUUGUUUAUACAUAGCAUAAAGGCAAAACAAAACAUUGUAUGCAGUGUUAUUUCAUUUUAAAUAUCAAACGGGUUUUGCGGC